GGAAGAUAAUAUGAAGACACAGGGAGAACAUAAUUUACAAGCCAAGGAUGCCUGAAGCCACCAGAAGCUGGGGGAGAAACCUGGAGCAGAUUCUUUCUCUCAGCUUUCAAAGGAACUAAUGCUACAAACACCUUGAUUUUGGACUUCUUUCCCCUAGAACUCUGUCCUGGAGAGGUUCAUAUGACAAGGAGGGCCCUAAUGAGUGAGCUUGGAAGUGGAUCUCUGAGGCCUGCCAACAGCCAUGAGAGUCUUCCAUUCAGACCAGGCAAGUACAGUCUGCUUUGCAGCCCUAAUUUGGAACGACUUCACCCAAGUAGAACAACCUCCCCCCGAAAAGCUCUGCGUCCACACCUUCAGCUACUUCUAAGGGCCAUGUAUGUCACUCAGGAAUCACGAUGUAGGUGGAUGGAUAUCCCACAGGAAGCAGUCUCUUCUUCAGAGUCCUCAUGAAAGAUGACCACAGACACUUCUUUUCCUUUGAAUUUCUCAUAACAUGUGUGAUAUGGUUUGGCUCAGUGUCCCCACCCAAAUCUCAUCUUGAAUUGUACUCCCAUAAUUCCCAUGUGGUGUGGGAGGGACCUGAUGGGAGAUAAUUUGAAUCAUGGGGCAAUUUCCCCCAUACUGUUCUCAUGGUAGUGAAUAAGUCUCACGAGAUCUAGUGGUUUUACCAGGGCUUUCCAUGUUUGCCUCUUCCUCAUUCUCUCUUUGCCUGCUGCCAUCCAUGUAAGACAGGACUUGCUCCUCCUUGCCUUCCACCAUGAUUGUGAGACUUCCCAGCCACGUGGAACUGUAAGUCCAAUUAAACCUCUUUCUUUGUAAGUUGCCCAGUCUCAAGUAUGUCUUUGUCAGCAACGUGAAAACAGACUAACACAAUGCUGUAAACCAAAAAUAAAAUCCUAAGCCCCACAACCAACUGAAUGAAC
rnacentral:lncRNA from 1 species